GGAGGCUAGGAAUGGGUCUGGGAGCCAAGGCUGAGAAUCGAUGCUGAUACCCCAGGAAGUGAGGGUGUGGACUGAGACCCAUGUCUUGGACAUGAUUGCAUCGUCUAGUGAAGGAGUCAGUGAGACUGAGAAAAGGAGCCCUUGUAAACCAAAACGUAACCUCCUGAAAAUCAAAAGCUGGUCCUUUUGACAUCUCCAAAGAGUCCACAGAUUUCCAACAGCCACAGGAGGGACCGAGAAAGCAGCCUCAACUCUUCCUCACCUUGCAACUCCAGUUGACAGUGAAGACAAAAUGUCAGUCUACAACACCUGCGUUACAAGCACACUGCUGUACGGCAGUGAAACAUGGACUACAUAUACCAGACAGGAGAGAAGAUGGAACACCUUCCACUUGAGGACUAUCUGCCAUAUCCUGGGCAUGUAUGUCCUGGCAAGACAGAGUGUCCAACGCAGCGGUCCUAUCUCACGCUGGCCUUCCCAGCAUGCACACUCUGCUCAGGCAGCGGAGACUGCACUGGCUGGGCCAUGUCCACUGCGUGGAGGACAGCCACAUCCCAAAGGAUAUCCUCUAUGGAGAACUCUCAUCUGGGGAAGAGACCCACUGGGCGUCCCCAGCUGCGUCUGUAUGAGGGACAUGAAGGUGCUUGAUAUCAUUACAGAGUCCUGGGAAAGGCUUGCAGCUGACUGUACGACUUGGAGAAGCACCCUGAACCAACACCCCAAAACAGGGGAAAAGAAGCUGAUGAGUGCUGCAGCAGACAAGAGGGCACCAAGGAAGGAGUGCAGCAGUUCCAGCAGAUCAACAACCACAUACAGAUGUGACCUUUGGGACUGGGACUGUCACUUCAGCACUGGUCUCUUCAGUCACAAGCGAUGUUGCUUCAGGGAAGCAGAAAGCCAGAACAAUGAGGAUGUAACCCAUGGUCAGCCUUGACCGAACGGGACCUCACUCCCUCACUCACUCCAGCAGCCACAGUACUUUGUUUUUUAAUUACUCUAAGAGCUAAACAAGCUCCAAUUUGUCCCUAUUACAUCAACAUGAAUUAAUGUUCAGGUUUAAAGGGCAUAUAGAGCACGUCACCCUUUCAUUUUGUGCUCCAAUGUACACCCUUAAUACAAAAAUCAGCUCUUUUGUUAUUCAGUCUAAAAUUAGAAACUGCCUUAUUUGCUCUGCCAUUUGGUGAUAUUUCUGUUCCGAUAAUAAAUGCACAUUCUUGUGAAAAACAACAACAUGAACCCAUUCUAAAAAUGCGAAGAGAAAUAUAUUGUAUCUUCUCACAG